GAUGAACGCUAGCUACAGGCUUAACACAUGCAAGUCGAGGGGUAACGGGAGGAAAGCUUGCUUUCCUUGUCGACGACCGGCGCACGGGUGAGUAACGCGUAUCCAACCUGCCCCCAACUAGGGAAUAACCUUGCGAAAGUAAGACUAAUACCCUAUAAUUUCCUCAGAUGUCAUCUGACGAGGAAUAAAGAUUUAUCGGUUGUGGAUGGGGAUGCGUCUGAUUAGCUUGUUGGCGGGGUAACGGACCACCAAGGCAACGAUCAGUAGGGGUUCUGAGAGGAAGGUCCCCCACAGUGGAACUGAGACACGGUCCAAACUCCUACGGGAGGCAGCAGUGAGGAAUAUUGGUCAAUGGGCGGAAGCCUGAACCAGCCAAGUAGCGUGCAGGAUGACGGCCCUAUGGGUUGUAAACUGCUUUUAUACAGGAAUAAAGUUAGCCACGUGUGGUUAUUUGUAGGUACUGUAUGAAUAGGGACCGGCUAAUUCCGUGCCAGCCGCCGCCGUAA
rnacentral:rRNA from 1 species